GAAAUGCGAUAAGUAGUGUGAAUUGCAGAAUUCAGUGAAUCAUCGAAUCUUUGAACGCACAUUGCGCCCCUUGGUAUUCCAUGGGGCAUGCCUGUUCGAGCGUCAUUUGUACCUUCAAGCUCUGCUUGGUGUUGGGUGUUUGUCCCGCCUUUGCGCGUGGACUCGCCUUAAAGCAAUUGGCAGCCGGCGUAUAGAUUUCGGAGCGCAGCACAAAACGCGCUUUGUUAGCAAUACGGUGGCGUCCAGUAAGCCUUUUUUAACUCUUGACCUCGGAUCAGGUAGGGAUACCCGCUGAACUUAA
rnacentral:misc_RNA from 1 species